UGUAAACAUCCUACACUCAGCUCUAAAGGUCUGAAAUGGCUGGGAGGGGGGUGUUUACC
rnacentral:pre_miRNA from 1 species